CGAAUCGGCGGCGUCAUGGCCGGCCGGUUGAAUCGACCUCGGCCACCUCCUGCUCUUUCUCUGGAUCCCCUCCGUCGACAACCUUCUGCGUUGUCGGCAGCGCCCCUCCGCAGCCAAGCCCAACACUGCCUGAGGCCAAGUCAUGCCCUCUUGGGUUGUGGUCGAACGUGGUCAAUUGAAAUUCGACGGGCGUCCUGCCGUGGCUGCCCCCAACGCCUGUGAACUGGGCAUCUACCCCCUUGCAAUUUUACGUCAGCUUGCCGAUUGGGCACUGGCUAAAUGUUAAUUUCAUUGGUGUUCAACUUGUUCAAUGCUAGGAAAGUUGUUGAGCUGAAUAUUAAGGUUAUUACAGGGGGCCACCUCUUUGUGGCCAUUGUGGAGAUAAUAGUUUUACUCUAGGCUCUUAUCAUCGAGUUCCUUGGCAAGUUCAUUUUAGUAGUCACAGUAAGCUGGCAAUGGCAGGUGUGGUUGGCACCAAUUGGUCUUGCUCUUUCUAGGUCAAAUUCUCCUAUGACUGCCGUAAGCUUAUUCCUCUGUUUCCAGGAUCUUAUAUCCAUGAUUUUUCGUAUUUCUUAUCUAGUGUGCUAUUAAUCAUUUAUAUUUUGUUAUAUCAGCAGUAGGCCUCCCAUAAAAGCAACUUUUUAGAGCUACGUGCAGCAAUUACA